AUUGAACGCUGGCGGCAGGCCUAAUACAUGCAAGUCGAGCGGACGAAGGGAGCUUGCUCCUGGAUUCAGUGGCGGACGGGCGAGUAAUGCCCAGGUAUCUGCCCGGCAGUGGGGGAUAACGUCCGGACACGGGCGCUAAUCCCGCAUACGUUCUGAUGGAGAAAGUGGGGGAUCUUCGGACCUCACGCUAUUAGAUGAGCCUAGGUCGGAUUAGCUAGUUGGUUGGGUAAAGGCCUACCAAGGCGACGAUCCGUAACUGGUCUGAGAGGAUGAUCAGUCACACUGGAACUGAGACACGGUCCAGACUCCUACGGGAGGCAGCAGUAGGGAAUAUUGGACAAUGGGCGAAAGCCUGAUCCAGCCAUGCCGCGUGAGUGAAGAAGGUCUUCGGAUUGUAAAGCACUUUAAGUUGGGAGGAAGGACAGUAAGUUAAUACCUUACUGUUUUGACGUUACCAACAGAGUAAGCACCGGCUAACUUCGUG
rnacentral:rRNA from 1 species